GGAAAAGAAACACACGCCGUCCCUAAAGUGUGGCUAUACUUUAUUAUAUUACUAUUAGUAUUACUCUUCUUAUGUUCAGUUGUAUAAAAGUAUUUAAAAUUUUUGACUAAUUUUAAACUAUGAAGUCUUGAUUCUUGGUGGUGAUUUUUGUAACUUUGGGAUGGAAGUGCUGUGCGUCCAAAUUCCGACAAGGCUAUAACGGUAAUCCCUAGAACCCUGAUAUCAAAUUUUCUAGCAACUAAACACUCAUGCCUGGGUGCAACUGAUCUUGCCGAGUACUUAAUAGACAGAGUGGAUGAGGACUUCUGACUUCAUCUACAACUUGCUUGGUAUGUUCCAUUCUGAGAACAUUGGAGAAAGUUUCAGUUGCUACCGCCAACUCAGUGGAGGAAACUACUAUAUCAGUCUCAGAUAAAUUCAGAAGGCAGAAAAAAUCAGGAUAAUAAUUUAUCUUGUGAAAUUUAACUGCAGGAUCAAAGAAUUGAAUUUAUUUAGGAAAGGAAAUUACCAAUUCCAAAAAAUGGGGCAGAAAAAAAAAUCACAGGAUUUACAUCACUAAUGGGUAAUGAUGUUCCUCACCUGGCUCUACGCUCAAUCUCUGUUUUGCUUCAUCACCAGAAAACAGGAAUAAAAGUACUGCCUCUUCAACACACCAAGCCCAAGAGUGACAAUACGCAGGAGAGCUGAGAAACUGCAAUUGAAGUAAUGUUUGGCACAGGGCUGUGAACAGAAUCACAAAUAGGACAGCAAAAUUUCAAAAGUGAUUUUUAAUGUGAUGGACAAUAACUUGGUCGUUCAACUCAAUGAUAACUUUAGAGAAGAGAACCGUAAGAGAACGUCAACUGAAAGCAAGGUUUCCCAGCUGCAAUCAAGACAACUUAAAUCAAUUUCUUUAUGAAUUUGUAGGCAUGGGUUUCCUGAACUUCAUCACUUUAUAGGUACCAAUAAAAUUAUCUUUUUCGAUGAAAAA
rnacentral:lncRNA from 1 species